AGGCUGCUCGAUUGCUAUCAAAAUUUAAAGAUGGAGGGAUACUUGAAUUAAAGGAUGUAGCUCGAGAGCUAGUUCAAAUCCCUGUUAAUCGUGUUAACUUCGUCUCUUCUUGAGACAUCGAUGAUGAACUUAUUGAUAAAUUGCUCUCAUUUACUUUUUAGUAGAUUAGAAGAGUAGAAAAAACUCCAUAUAUUUGCGGUAAAUUGAAUAUAUAUUUAUUGGUUAUCAUACUGUACACAUUUUUCUUCUAAUUUAAUUGCAACUAACUUA
rnacentral:lncRNA from 1 species